GGCGUGGUGGCGGAGUGGUCUAUCGCGCAAGACUUGAAAUCUUGUUCCUUUGGGAGCGUGAGUUCGAAUCUCACCCGCGUCG
rfam:Pyrenochaeta sp. DS3sAY3a unplaced genomic scaffold IQ07scaffold_6, whole genome shotgun sequence.